rnacentral:lncRNA from 1 species
AGUGCUUUCCUGCGGACGUGCGCUGCUGCCCAGCCUCAGGCUCCAGUCCUGCGCUGGCUGCUGCUGGCUGUCGUCAGCGAUGCCGCCGCCGGCCACAAGGUGGCAGUGCCGUGCUGCGUGGCUACACGCCCCUGGAAGCACCGGACCAGCCUUGGUCUGGCAAAAGUUUUCCAGUCUUUCCAGCAGAUGCGCCCAGGCCGUGAGCCCUCCCGGGCGGCCUGGAGGACUCCCGAAAGAAGCCUGGUGUAACUGAGUCUGGAAUUUUUGCUGGGCUUGCUAGGUCUACACUCUCCCACCUGUGCUCCGAGGAGAGGUGUAGACUAUCUCUUGGAUUUUGCUUGGAGGAUGUCCUUUCCGGACUCAGGACCUAGGAGAGACCAGCAGGAAACAGAACAGAGUCUACAUAGGUGAAUAUCAAAGAAUCACCUGGAGAGAUUUACAGACAACAGACUGGGACAAAAGGCCUGAGUCACAGACCAGUGAUUGGCAAAACAGAGAAGCUGAAGCAACUGUACAGCAAGCAGGAGCUCACACACGGGAGCCUACCUCUGGGAAUGCCGAGAAGUCAAUGCAAUGGUCACAUCUCAGGUUGUCUGGACACACAGACGGUUCACAAAUCCCGGGAUGGACCAGGAAGGCCAUUCAGUGAGAUUGUGUUGAACUGGGGAGUGGUGACAGUAAACAUUGACAUUAUGGUCCUACAUACAUAUCAUACGUUCCAUUAGUGUCCUACAUAAGUUAUAACCUGCUUACUCCUCCCAGUGCCCUUGAGAGAUCAGCCUGCUAAUUCCCACUCCAGAGUCAGGGAAGCUAAGUGCUGGGGACUCAGGAAACUUGACUGCGUUUAUAGCCAGUGAGUGGCAAAGCUGAUGUUUGAAUCCGUGUUUCGUGUUUCAGAGUCUUGGGAAGCUACGGUUUUUGUCCAUGUGUCCCCUGCUUCACUGUGUUUCAGGGGCUGAGUUGCUACACCACCCUAGAUGGUGGGCUGAGGGGCCUCUUCUGAUGAACUCCCUUCAGAAUGCAUUCCCUUCACAUCUGUUACCUCUUGCGGUGUGGGUCGCUGCUCUGUGGAAGUUGGACAGAACCCUUGGAACCUCCCGUGUGAUUCUGAAGUCUAGUGCAAACUCCAGUCAGUAAACUAAGAGAAACCAUUUUUAGUCAAAGGAAGCAAGGAACACUCCAACCAGCCCAGACUGACUUUCUUCUGUGGUUAAAAAUCUGGAUCUCCAUGUAAUUGCAACUGGGAAGAUCCUGCUGGAAGAUGUGCCAAGGUAGCCCCACAUGUUCCAAAGGGAUCGAAACUCAUUUGGAAGGGUAUGUUCUGAGAGAGAGAGAGAGAGAGAGAGAGAGAGAGAGAGAGAGAGAGAAGAAGAAGAAGAAGAAGAAGAAGAAGAAGAAGAAGAAGAAGAAGAAGAAGAAGAAGAAGAAGAAGAAGGAAGAACAACAAGAACAACAAGGAAGAAGAAGGAGAAGAAGGAGAAGGAGGAGAAGAAGGAGGAGGAGGAGGAGGAGGAAGAAGGAGAAGAGAGAGAAUUUCUUCUACUACUUCUUUAUAUUUAUGUAUUUAUUCUCUUUUGCACUUAGUGUGUAACUUGGUGCCUUACAUAAACCAUGGAAUAAUUAGGCUUUCUUCAGGAUGUAAGGAAAUUCCCUACAUCAGAGGACCUUACUAUCCAAGCUAAGGUAAGAAUGAAGUCCCAGCCGCAAGGGUGAUGGAAGGGAGACGAUGAAGAUAACAUAUGGUGGGAACAUCUCCAGGGAUGAUGGGAGAUACGGCUACAAAUGCUGCAUCCUAGGAGGAUGAAUUCUUUUCCUGUCUGCCAGUGAUCUCAGUUUUGUCAAUCAUUUCCAUGUACCCUCCCACUUCCUACAACUGCACUUAAGCCUUAGAAGAAAUAGGACAGGCAGUCUGGACAACGAGUGACACCAGGGAGUCCCUAGGUGUGUAUUUCCUUGUAUGUCUCUGUAAGUGUGGUCCCCAGCAUCCUAAUGGUUUGAUUUUGGCAGUAACUGGCUUUCUUAGGCACACCACCACUGUCGUUGUGGCAUGCUCACUAAACAUGGACUCCCUGUUCUUUGCUAAUCAAAUCUACCUGUAUACUCAGAAAUGCCACGAGUAGUCUAAGGCAGGCAUUGGCUAUGCCUACCUGUCACCUCUUUGGGAAAAAUAAAGUUUUAUUAGAACACA